rnacentral:snRNA from 1 species
CUCCUUAGCUGGGAGGGAAGACUGAGAUCAGAAAUGGGGCCUUCCCGGGUAAGGAUAUUAAUUGAACUCCAGGUGUGCUGACUCUGGGGACUCACCUGGAUGUGGAGAAGCUGACUGUAUAAUUUAUAGUGAAAACUGAAUUUACACCUUCAAA